AAAAAAAAAUAUCCCCAUAUUCUAGUCCAAAAAAAAAAAAUCCAAAUUGAAAUUGGCAGAGUUCAUUUCAAUAUUUCAUCGUUUUCAUCUUUCUCUUGUUUGUGACGAGCUACCGCAUUAUUUUGUAAUUCUGAAGCUGAAGAUGAUUGCGAUCCCAACAAGCAGAUCCUACAGUUUCCUCGUAUUCCUCGUUGCCUGCACUUUCCAAUUCUUUCUAGGCUUUUGUGAUGAUUCACCUAAUUCUAAAGAUGAUAAAACGACAGCAGCAAAUGUCCGCGGCACCGGUUCUCUGAUAGCUAUUAUAUUGAUUGUGCUUGUGGUGUUUUCUUUGCUCUCCUUUUUACUUUUCAAAUUGUGGCGGAAGAAGAAAAGAGAAGAGCAAUAUGCCCGUCUUCUGAAACUGUUUGAAGAGGAUGAUGAGUUAGAACUUGAGCUUGGCCUAAGAGACUGACCUUCGCCAUUUUGCAUCUUCCCAUGAUUGUAAUGCAGGCUUAGGUGAGAUUGCUUAUUGUGAAUUUUUUGCUCCUUGCAUAGCCAUUUUUGCCAAGAUGCAUAUGACAAUGUUUGGACUUGCUGGGGAAGAAAGAGCAGAAGACCACAAUUCAAUGUUUGUAAUGCUAUUCGAUUUUUUCCCCUUCUUUUUCUUUUUUAAUUUUUUCGUAGAAUUUAUUUAUCUAAAUAGUAUAGGUGAAAAAGGCUAACUUUGCACAAAGUGAUUGGAUGAGUCUUGUAGAGUGCAUCUGAAAUCUGUUGAUAUGUUAUAUGUACGAUAUUGUAGUCUUGACAUGUUGAAGGUUUUGGUAAAAUUC